CACAGACCGAGGAAGAUUUCACUUGAGAAAUAAUGAGGCAGGGCUCGCGUUCUACCAAGGAAGGAGGAUUCUUUGGUGUCAGUAGAUAGCAGGCUCUCUUCAAGGCGUCCUGAACGUAAGCCCUUGUGGUGUUCUUUUAGAAGUAGGAUUGCUGCCAUCCCUCUGGUGAAUUGAAGCAGCUGCCGGAAUCCCUGACAAGGUUGGGUCCAGACUUGGUA
ensembl:lncRNA